GACGAACGCUGGCGGCGUGCUUAACACAUGCAAGUCGAACGGAAAGGCCCUGCUUUUGUGGGGUGCUCGAGUGGCGAACGGGUGAGUAACACGUGAGUAACCUGCCCUUGACUUUGGGAUAACUUCAGGAAACUGGGGCUAAUACCGGAUAGGAGCUCCUGCUGCAUGGUGGGGGUUGGAAAGUUUCGGCGGUUGGGGAUGGACUCGCGGCUUAUCAGCUUGUUGGUGGGGUAGUGGCUUACCAAGGCUUUGACGGGUAGCCGGCCUGAGAGGGUGACCGGCCACAUUGGGACUGAGAUACGGCCCAGACUCAUACGGGAGGAAGCAGUGGGGAGUAUUGCACAAUGGGCGGAAGCCUGAUGCAGCAACGCCGCGUGCGGGAUGACGGCCUUCGGGUUGUAAACCGCUUUCGCCUGUGACGAAGCGUGAGUGACGGUAAUGGGAAAAGAAGCACCGGCUACUACGUG
rnacentral:rRNA from 1 species